CACUCCUGCGGGAGGCAGCAGUGGGGAAUAUUGGACGAUGGGCGCAAGCCUGAUCCAGCCAUGCCGCGUGAGUGAUGAAGGCCCUAGGGUUGUAAAGCUCUUUCACCGGUGAAGAUAAUGACGGUAACCGGAGAAGAAGCCCCGGCUAACUUCGUGCCAGCAGCCGCGGUAAUACGAAGGGGGCUAGCGUUGUUCGGAUUUACUGGGCGUAAAGCGCACGUAGGCGGACUAUUAAGUCAGGGGUGAAAUCCCGGGGCUCAACCCCGGAACUGCCUUUGAUACUGGUAGUCUUGAGUUCGAGAGAGGUGAGUGGAAUUCCGAGUGUAGAGGUGAAAUUCGUAGAUAUUCGGAGGAACACCAGUGGCGAAGGCGGCUCACUGGCUCGAUACUGACGCUGAGGUGCGAAAGCGUGGGGAGCAAACAGGAUUAGAAACCCGAGUAGUCCCA
rnacentral:rRNA from 1 species